rnacentral:rRNA from 1 species
GGGAUAACACUUGAAAACAGGUGCUAAUACCGCAUAACCAUAGUUACCGCAUGGUAACUAUGUAAAAGGUGGCUAUGCUACCGCUUUUGGAUGGGCCCGCGACGCAUUAGCUAGUUGGUGGGGUAAAGGCUUACCAAGGCAAUGAUGCGUAGCCGAACUGAGAGGUUGAUCGGCCACAUUGGGACUGAGACACGGCCCAAACUCCUACGGGAGGCAGCAGUAGGGAAUCUUCCACAAUGGGCGAAAGCCUGAUGGAGCAACGCCGCGUGGGUGAAGAAGGUCUUCGGAUCGUAAAACCCUGUUGUUAGAGAAGAAAGUGCGUGAGAGUAACUGUUCACGUUUCGACGGUAUCUAACCAGAAAGCCACGGCUAACUACGUGCCAGCAGCCGCGGUAAUACGUAGGUGGCAAGCGUUAUCCGGAUUUAUUGGGCGUAAAGAGAACGCAGGCGGUCUUUUAAGUCUGAUGUGAAAGCCUUCGGCUUAACCGGAGUAGUGCAUUGGAAACUGGGAGACUUGAGUGCAGAAGAGGAGAGUGGAACUCCAUGUGUAGCGGUGAAAUGCGUAGAUAUAUGGAAGAACACCAGUGGCGAAAGCGGCUCUCUGGUCUGUAACUGACGCUGAGGUUCGAAAGCGUGGGUAGCAAACAGGAUUAGAUACCCUGGUAGUCCACGCCGUAAACGAUGAAUGAUAGGUGUUGGAG